AACGAACGCUGGCGGCAUGCCUAACACAUGCAAGUCGAACGAGACCUUCGGGUCUAGUGGCGCACGGGUGCGUAACGCGUGGGAACCUGCCCUUAGGUUCGGAAUAACUCCCCGAAAGGGGUGCUAAUACCGGAUAAUGUCUUCGGACCAAAGAUUUAUCGCCUUUGGAUGGGCCCGCGUUGGAUUAGCUAGUUGGUAGGGUAAAAGCCUACCAAGGCGACGAUCCAUAGCUGGUCUGAGAGGAUGAUCAGCCACACUGGGACUGAGACACGGCCCAGACUCCUACGGGAGGCAGCAGGGGGGAAUAUUGGACAAUGGGCGAAAGCCUGAGCCAGCAAUGCCGCGUGAGUGAUGAAGGCCUUAGGGUUGUAAAGCUCUUUUAACCGGGAUGAUAAUGACAGUACCGGGAGAAUAAGCGCCGGCUAACUCCGUG
rnacentral:rRNA from 1 species